GAUGAACGCUAGCGGCAGGCUUAACACAUGCAAGUCGAGGGGCAGCAUAAUGGCUAGCAGUAUCUAUGGUGGCGACCGGCGCACGGGUGCGUAACGCGUAUGCAACCUUCCUUUAACAGGGGGAUAACACUGAUAAAUUGGUACUAAUACCCCAUAAUAUCAUAGAAGGCAUCUUUUAUGUUUGAAAAUUCGGAUGGUUAGAGAUGGGCAUGCGUUGUAUUAGCUAGUUGGUGGGGUAACGGCUCACCAAGGCGACGUGACAUAGGGGGACUGAAAGGUUAACCCCCCACACUGGUACUGAGACACGGACCAGACUCCUACGGGAGGCAGCAGUGAGGAAUAUGGGUCAAUGGACGCAAGUCUGAACCAGCCAUGCCGCGUGCAGGAUGACGGCUCUAUGAGUUGUAAACUGCUUUUGUACGAGGGUAAACGCAGAUACGUGUAUCUGUCUGAAAGUAUCGUACGAAUAAGGAUCGGCUAACUCCGUG
rnacentral:rRNA from 1 species